AUUUAUAAUAUAUUUACAAUUAUAUUCACCUUGUUAUAUUCACUUUCACGAGGUGAAAUUUGUAUUAUUUUAUUUUACCAUUAUUUUAAAAUCAUUAAUAUUUUAGCCUGCUUUUAAAAAGUCCAAAUAAAAAAAAAAAAAAAAAAAAAAAAGGGGGGGGGGGGGGUUAAGGUAAUUAUCAUUUAAACCUGAAUUUUUCUAGUAUUCUCUAGUAUUUUCUGGUGUUAUUUAAAAAAAGCCGGGCCUCUGUGAUUCCAGGAGCUGCCCGUCCCGCCCUGAAUAUCCCACCCUUCAGCAGCCUGCAGUUCAGUUUUACUUCUCAACAACAAAAUGUCCUGAUGGAGAAUAGAAUUGGUCAGAGAAUCUGAUCAAAACAACAUUUUGAUAUGUCCCUGUUGGGCUCAUGGACUAAAAGGAUUUGAUAGCUUCAAUCCAAGAUCUUUUCCAUCCGUCUCAAUGGCAGUUGAUUCAGGAACCCCACGAACAUGUGAUCUGAAAUUUGUCAUCUUUUUUUUUUUUUUUUUUUUUUUUUUUUUUUUUUUUUUUUAGAGGGGGUGAUGUUUAAAGAAGCUUGCCACAUUUUUAAUGUAUCUAGUUGGUUCUCCAUUAACUGUGACUAAUUAGAAACCCAUCUGAUGGAACUGAAACUCACUGAUAUUUGUGACUGUGUUUGUGCUUUCUGUUUUAGCUGAAUGACAUUAACAAGCUACAGGUUACAUAUUAAGUUCAUGUGUUGAUGAAACACUAAAAAAAAAAGAAGUAGUUUCAGCAGGAGUUGGGAUUUAGCCAUAGUUGGUAAAAGUGGAUUGAGAGAAGUUAAUUCAGGCUAAUCUUUGCCCUCGAAACUGUAAGAGAAGAGUGUUGGGGUUAAUCAUGUUAGGACCGGUCUGACAAGAGAUGUGCUCAAUGAAAACACAGCAAAACACAGGACCACAAAUCACUGGACUGUACUUCCUUUUCUGAUGGCAAACUCAAUCCAAACACACCAGCAGUAUAUUUUUGAACAUGAUUUUAUUUGUGGUUUGUGAUUCAUAUUUUUAUACCACAGGAUGGUUUAUUCAGGUCAUGUCAGCACAUUUUAUGUCAUUAAUAAUAUUUUCCAUAUGAGCUUCCAGUUCUUGCAUUUUCAAUAGUACAAAAGGAUAUUUAAAGGGAACCACCCUUUAAUUGUCUGAUCUUGUCCUUUGCUUUUUACAGUAUCUGUGAUGAAAACAAGAGUGAGGUCACCUACUGUAACAUCUAUCUUUGAUCUACCUCUCAUUGAUCUCAGCUUAUGUGCAUCAUUUUGAGUAGUAUUUGAUCAUUGGUGAAUAAGCUUGGAUCAAUGAGGCAAACAUAAAUACAAAACCUGUGCUAAUUGAAAGAAAACAAGUUGACAAGAAGAUUGAUUCCAAGAUUUGGUUAAAAAACAGCAUGAUAAAUUUAUAAGCAGUUUUUGUAGGCUGGUCAUUUUUGACUGGGAACAUCACAGGUAUAACAAGGUGGGAAAUAAUUCAAGUAAACAUACAAAAAUUAUAAAAAGAAUUUCGGAAAGUCAACUUUUGAGCAA
ensembl:lncRNA